GUGGGGAAUCUUGCGCAAUGGGCGAAAGCCUGACGCAGCCAUGCCGCGUGAAUGAUGAAGGUCUUAGGAUUGUAAAAUUCUUUCACCGGGGACGAUAAUGACGGUACCCGGAGAAGAAGCCCCGGCUAACUUCGUGCCAGCAGCCGCGGUAAUACGAAGGGGGCUAGCGUUGCUCGGAAUUACUGGGCGUAAAGGGCGCGUAGGCGGACAGUUAAGUUGGGGGUGAAAGCCCGGGGCUCAACCUCGGAACUGCCUUCAAUACUGGCUGUCUUGAGUAUGAGAGAGGUGUGUGGAACUCCGAGUGUAGAGGUGAAAUUCGUAGAUAUUCGGAAGAACACCAGUGGCGAAGGCGACACACUGGCUCAUUACUGACGCUGAGGCGCGAAAGCGUGGGGAGCAAACAGGAUUAGAUACCCGAGUAGUCC
rnacentral:rRNA from 1 species